GGGAUGCUGGAGGAUGCAUUACACCCUUCUUGGACAGAGGUUUCAUUCAAGACAGGAGAAGACUAUUUAAUUUUGAGUAGGUGGAUGAAAUGCAAACAACACAGAGAACGUGGAAUCCUCUGAAAGGCAUUGGAUUAAACAUCUUCAUACUAAGAAUAGGACCUCUGAUCUGACUAAACCACAGUAUGGACAGAUUCUUCAGUGGGAUAGCAAAGAUGAACACUGCAAACAGUGGAAAAACAGCUGCUGUUCUCUUCUGAAGUCUCUGGCUUGAUCUGCUUUCCCUUCAAACUGCACUUGUAGAUCCUCCAAUCCCUAGGAAUGCCACAGUUGCU